rnacentral:rRNA from 1 species
CCUACGGGGGGCAGCAGUGGGGAAUAUUGCGCAAUGGGCGAAAGCCUGACGCAGCGACGCCGCGUGGGUGAUGACGGCCUUCGGGUUGUAAAGCCCUGUCGGGUGGAACGAACGAUCUGGCGGCGAAUAACCGCCGGGUGUGACGGUACCACCGAAGGAAGCCCCGGCUAACUACGUGCCAGCAGCCGCGGUAAGACGUACGGGGCGAGCGUUGUUAGGAUGCGCUGGGCGGGAAGGGCGCGUAGGCGGCGAAAUCUCGCGGCUUAACCGAGGUACCGCAUCCGAUACUGUCUGGCUCGAGUCUAGGAGAUGAAAGCGGAAUUCCCAGUGUAGCGGUGAAAUGCGUAGAUAUUGGGAGGAACACCGGUGGCGAAGGCGGCUUUCCGGACUAGUACUGACGCUGAGGCGCGAAAGCUAGGGGAGCGAACGGGAUUAGAUACCCUAGUAGUC